rnacentral:rRNA from 1 species
GAUCAUGGCUCAGGAUGAACGCUGGCGGCGUGCUUAACACAUGCAAGUCGAACGAAGCCAAAGGAAGCUUGCUUCUUUGAAGCUUAGUGGCGGACGGGUGAGUAACGCGUGAGUAACCUGCCCUUCAGUGGGGGAAUAACACAGAGAAAUCUGUGCUGAUACCGCAUAACGUCUUCUUGCCGCAUGACAGGAAGACCAAAGGAUUUAUUCGCUGAAGGAUGGACUCGCGUCCGAUUAGCUAGUUGGUGAGGUAACGGCCCACCAAGGCGACGAUCGGUAGCCGAACUGAGAGGUUGAUCGGCCACAUUGGGACUGAGACACGGCCCAGACUCCUACGGGAGGCAGCAGUGGGGAAUAUUGGGCAAUGGGCGAAAAAGCCUGACCCAGCAACGCCGCGUGAAGGAAGACGGUCUUCGGAUUGUAAACUUCUUUGAUUGGGGAAGAAACAAAUGACCUACCCAAAGAACAAGUCACGGCUAACUACGUGCCAGCCGCCGC